rnacentral:rRNA from 1 species
CUAUAAUGCAAGUCGAGCGAACCAAUAAGAAGCUUGCUUUUUGUUGGUUAGCGGCGGACGGGUGAGUAACACGUGGGUAACCUGCCUGUAAGACCGGGAUAACUCCGGGAAACCGGUGCUAAUACCGGAUAGAUUAUCUUUCCGCCUGGAGAGAUAAGGAAAGAUGGCUAUUGCCAUCACUUACAGAUGGGCCCGCGGCGCAUUAGCUAGUUGGUGAGGUAACGGCUCACCAAGGCGACGAUGCGUAGCCGACCUGAGAGGGUGAUCGGCCACACUGGGACUGAGACACGGCCCAGACUCCUACGGGAGGCAGCAGUAGGGAAUCUUCCGCAAUGGACGAAAGUCUGACGGAGCAACGCCGCGUGAGUGAAGAAGGUCUUCGGAUCGUAAAGCUCUGUUGUUAGGGAAGAACAAGUAUCGGAGGAAAUGCCGGUACCUUGACGGUACCUGACGAGAAAGCCACGGCUAACUACGUGCCAGCAGCCGCGGUAAUACGUAGGUGGCAAGCGUUGUCCGGAAUUAUUGGGCGUAAAGCGCGCGCAGGCGGUCCUUUAAGUCUGAUGUGAAAUCUUGCGGCUCAACCGCAAGCGGUCAUUGGAAACUGGGGGACUUGAGUGCAGAAGAGGAAAGCGGAAUUCCACGUGUAGCGGUGAAAUGCGUAGAGAUGUGGAGGAACACCAGUGGCGAAGGCGGCUUUCUGGUCUGUAACUGACGCUGAGGCGCGAAAGCGUGGGGAGCAAACAGGAUUGGAUACCCUGGUAGUCCACGCCGUAAACGAUGAGUGCUAAGUGUUGGAGGGUUUCCGCCCUUCAGUGCUGCAGCUAACGCAUUAAGCACUCCCGCCUGGGGGAGUA